UACGUAGGGGGCAAGCGUUGUCCGGAAUCAUUGGGCGUAAAGCGCGUGUAGGCGGCCCGAUAAGUCCGCCGUGAAAGCCCAGGGCUCAACCCUGGGAUGCCGGUGGAAACUGUCGGGCUAGAGUCCGGAAGAGGCGAGUGGAAUUCCUGGUGUAGCGGUGAAAUGCGCAGAUAUCAGGAGGAACACCAAUGGCGAAGGCAGCUCGCUGGGACGGUUACUGACGCUGAGACGCGGAAGCGUGGGGAGCAAACAGG
rnacentral:rRNA from 1 species